rnacentral:rRNA from 1 species
AAAUUGAAGAGUUUGAUCAUGGCUCAGAUUGAACGCUGGCGGCAGGCCUAACACAUGCAAGUCGAACGGUAACAGGAAGCAGCUUGCUGCUUUGCUGACGAGUGGCGGACGGGUGAGUAAUGUCUGGGAAACUGCCUGAUGGAGGGGGAUAACUACUGGAAACGGUGGCUAAUACCGCAUAAUGUCGCAAGACCAAAGAGGGGGACCUUCGGGCCUCUUGCCAUCAGAUGUGCCCAGAUGGGAUUAGCUAGUUGGUGAGGUAACGGCUCACCAAGGCGACGAUCCCUAGCUGGUCUGAGAGGAUGACCAGCCACACUGGAACUGAGACACGGUCCAGACUCCUACGGGAGGCAGCAGUGGGGAAUAUUGCACAAUGGGCGCAAGCCUGAUGC